rnacentral:tRNA from 1 species
GAGGGGGACACGAAAGCCUGCUAACCCUUCAACCUGGUAAACACACCAGCCCUCUC